GCGAGGGAAGGGAAGGAGGGGGGGGGGAGGAUGGGGGAACACGCGCCCCAAGAGCGAAGGAGAACAGCUGAGGAGGCGCUGCCUGCGGCUCAGGCUUCCUAACAGGUUAGCUAGACGGGGAUCCACCCGGCAUUUCGCAGGAAAGGGUGGGGGGGGGGGGGGACCGAGCGAGAGGGGGAGAGAGCUUCACAAGAGGACAGAGGGAGGGAGGGAAAGAG
rnacentral:lncRNA from 1 species